GACGAACGCUGGCGGCGCGCUUAACACAUGCAAGUCGAGCGAUGAAAUCUUAACAGAACCCUUCGGGGCGAAGAUAAGACGGAUUAGCGGCGGACGGGUGAGUAACACGUGAGUAACCUGCCUUUUACACAGGGAUAGCCUCGGGAAACCGGGAUUAAAACCUGAUGAAACUAUCAAAUCACAUGAUUAAGAAAGUUAAAACUCCGGUGGUAAAAGAUGGACUCGCGUCCCAUUAGCUAGUUGGUGAAGGUAACGGCCCACCAAGGCAACGAUGGGUAGCCGGCCUGAGAGGGUGAACGGCCACAUUGGAACUGAGAAACGGUCCAAACUCCUACGGGAGGCAGCAGUGGGGAAUAUUGCACAAUGGGGGAAACCCUGAUGCAGCGACGCCGCGUGAGCGAAGAAGGCCUUCGGGUCGUAAAGCUCUUUUAUAUGGGAAGAUAAUGACGGUACCAUAAGAAAAAGCCCCGGCUAACUACGUGCCAGCAGCCGCGGUAAUACGUAGGGGGCUAGCGUUGUCCGGAAUCACUGGGCGUAAAGGGUUCGCAGGCGGCAAUGCAAGUCAGAUGUAAAAGGCAAAGGCUCAACCUUUGUAAGCAUCUGAAACUGUAUAGCUUGAGAAGUGUAGAGGCAAGUGGAAUUUUUUAGUGUAGCGGUUGAAAUGCGUAGAUAUUAAAAAAGAAUACCCGGUGGCGAAUGCGACUUGCUGGGCACAAUCUGACGCCUGAGGAACGAAAGCGUGGGGAGCAACAGG
rnacentral:rRNA from 1 species